CAAUAAGCGGAGGAAAAGAAACUAACAAGGAUUCCCCUAGUAACUGCGAGUGAAGCGGGAUGAGCUCAAAUUUAAAAUCUGGCGUCUUCGGCGUCCGAGUUGUAAUUUAGAGAAGCGUUUUCCGCGUCGGACCGUGUACAAGUCUCCUGGAACGGAGCGUCAUAGAGGGUGAGAAUCCCGUCUUUGACACGGACCCCCGAUGCUAUGUGAUACGCUCUCGAAGAGUCGAGUUGUUUGGGAAUGCAGCUCAAAAUGGGUGGUGAACUCCAUCUAAAGCUAAAUAUUGGCGAGAGACCGAUAGCGAACAAGUACCGUGAGGGAAAGAUGAAAAGCACUUUGGAAAGAGAGUGAAACAGUACGUGAAAUUGUUGAAAGGGAAACGCUUGAAGUCAGUCGCGUCCGCCGGGAUUCAGCCGCAAGGUGUACUUUCCGGUGGACGGGCCAGCAUCACUUUCGAUCAUCGGAAAAGGGCGUGAGGAAUGUGGCACCUUCGGGUGUGUUAUAGCCUCUCGUCGUAUACGGUGACCGGGAGUGAGGACCGCCUUUGUAGGAUGCUGGCGUAAUGGCUUUAAACGACCCGUCUUGAAACACGGACCAAGGAGUCUAACAUGCCCGCGAGUGUUCGGGUGGAAAACCCGUGCGCGUAAUGAAAGUGAAAGUUGGGAAGGCUGUCGCGGCCUGCACCGACGCCCGGACUUGAGAUUUAUCGAAGGUUCUGCGGUAGAGCGUGUAUGUUGGGACCCGAAAGAUGGUGAACUAUGCCUGAAUAGGGUGAAGCCAGAGGAAACUCUGGUGGAGGCUCGUAGCGAUUCUGACGUGCAAAUCGAUCGUCGAAUUUGGGUAUAGGG
rnacentral:rRNA from 2 species